GCAGGUGUAGUUUAAUGGUAGAACCUCAGCCUUCCAAGCUGACUGCGUGAGUUCGAU
rnacentral:tRNA from 1 species